GGGUUACUUCUGUUGCACCACAGUACUUUAUUUUACAACGGUUUGACACAUAUUUUGCCUUUAACAAAUAUUGCGCCCCCCU